rnacentral:rRNA from 1 species
GUGUCAGCCGCCGCGGUAAUACAGAGGGUGCGAGCGUUAAUCGGAAUUACUGGGCGUAAAGGGUGCGUAGGUGGUUAUUUAAGUCAGAUGUGAAAUCCCUGGGCUUAACCUAGGAAUUGCAUAUGAAACUGAAUAGCUAGAGUUCGAGAGAGGGAAGUGGAAUUUCCGGUGUAGCGGUGAAAUGCGUAGAUAUCGGAAGGAACACCAGUGGCGAAGGCGACUUUCUGGCUCGCAACUGACACUGAGGCACGAAAGCGUGGGUAGCAAACAGGAUUAGAUACCCUGGUAGUCCACGCUGUAAACGAUGAGAACUAGAUGUUAGUAGGCAUAAGACUUAUUAGUAUCGUAGCCAACGCGCUAAGUUCUCCGCCUGGGGAGUACGGCCGCAAGGUUAAAACUUAAAUGAAUUGACGGGG